rnacentral:tRNA from 1 species
GAGGGUAUAGCUUAGUGGUUAGAGCCCAUGCUUAGCAUACAGGAGGUCCUGGGUUCAAUCCUAGUAUCUCCA